rnacentral:rRNA from 1 species
GCCUAGGUAUCUGCCCAGUCGAGGGGGAUAACAGUUGGAAACGACUGCUAAUACCGCAUACGCCCUACGGGGAAGGAGGGACCUUCGGGCCUUCCGCGAUUGGAUGAACCUAGGUGGGAUUAGCUAGUUGGUGAGGUAAUGGCUCACCAAGGCGACGAUCCCUAGCUGGUCUGAGAGGAUGAUCAGCCACACUGGAACUGAGACACGGUCCAGACUCCUACGGGAGGCAGCAGUGGGGAAUAUUGCACAAUGGGGGAAACCCUGAUGCAGCCAUGCCGCGUGUGUGAAGAAGGCUCUAGG